rnacentral:rRNA from 1 species
AUUGAACGCUGGCGGAAUGCUUUACACAUGCAAGUCGAGCGGCAGCGCGGGGCAACCUGGCGGCGAGCGGCGAACGGGUGAGUAAUGCAUCGGAACGUACCCAGUCGUGGGGGAUAACGUGGCGAAAGUCACGCUAAUACCGCAUACGUCCUGAGGGAGAAAGCGGGGGAUCGCAAGACCUCGCGCGAUUGGAGCGGCCGAUGUCUGAUUAGCUAGUUGGUGGGGUAAAGGCCUACCAAGGCGACGAUCAGUAGCUGGUCUGAGAGGACGACCAGCCACACUGGGACUGAGACACGGCCCAGACUCCUACGGGAGGCAGCAGUGGGGAAUUUUGGACAAUGGGCGAAAGCCUGAUCCAGCCAUUCCGCGUGAGUGAAGAAGGCCUUCGGGUUGUAAAGCUCUUUCGGCAGGAACGAAACGGUGGGAGCUAAUAUCUCCUGCUAAUGACGGUACCUGAAGAAGAAGCACCGGCUAACUACGUG